UACGUAGGGGGCUAGCGUUGUCCGGAUUUAUUGGGCGUAAAGAGCGUGUAGGCGGCCAGGUAGGUCUGCUGUGAAAACUCGAGGCUCAACCUCGAGACGUCGGCGGAAACCAUCUGGCUAGAGUCCGGAAGAGGAGAGUGGAAUUCCUGGUGUAGCGGUGAAAUGCGCAGAUAUCAGGAAGAACACCAGUGGCGAAGGCGGGUCUCUGGACAGUUCCUGACGCUGAGGCACGAAGGUCAGGGGAGCAAACGGG
rnacentral:rRNA from 1 species